rnacentral:rRNA from 1 species
UACGUAGGGUCCGAGCGUUGUCCGGAGUUACUGGGCGUAAAGCGCGCGCAGGCGGCGGUGCUGGCCCGGCGUGAAAGCCCCCGGCUCAACCGGGGAGAGUCGUCGGGGACCGCACCGCUUGAGGGCGGUAGGGGCUGGUGGAAUGCCUGGUGUAGUGGUGAAAUGCGUAGAGAUCAGGCAGAACACCUGGGGCGAAGGCGGCCAGCUGGGCCGUCCCUGACGCUGAGGCGCGAAGGCCAGGGGAGCAAACGGG